rnacentral:tRNA from 1 species
GGGGUUGUAGCUCAGUGGUAGAGCGCUUGCCUCAUAUGUGUGAGGCAUGGGGUUUGACCCUCAGCACCA